rnacentral:lncRNA from 1 species
CUCAAGUUUGAGAACCACUGACUGCCCUACACCAGCAGUUCUCAACUGGGGAUGAUUCUGGGCCCCAGGAACAUUUGGCAACGUCUGGAGAUACUUUUAGCAGUGGCGACUGGGAAAUGAGGUUGGGUGUUGCUUCUAGCAUCCAAUGGGUAGAAGCCAGAGAUGUUGCUAAACAUCCUACUAUGUACAGGUAGUCCUCCACAACAAAGUAUUAUCUGUCAAUAGUGCUGAGGUUGAGGAACUCUGCCCUACACCUAAUAGUGGGAGGGCAGAACCAGGAAAGCUGUCCGUGCUUUUCUUUCUUUCUCUUUCUCUCUCUGUCUCUGUCUGUCUCUCCCUCUCUCUCUCUCUCUCUCCUCUCUCUCUGAAAGUAUCUAUCUGCUUUAGCUGGAAGUUCAGUUCUCUUUCAUAAAUGCAUCCUGUGAAGCUGUACCUCCCCGCUGGAGUGCCUCCAAUAGGUUUCUGAUAACUUUGGAGAUUGUGACAUCAGGAUGACGAAAAACUUUCAGGACUCAUGGAGAGCGAAAUGUUCAUGGAUAUCAAGCAGAACAGGAAUUAACUGCAUGGACUGAACUAAUAGUGGACUGAAGUUAUCUUUUUGACUUUUUGCUUAAAACGUUGCUGAUCCUUUGUUUUUUAGAGUCAAGGAAACUUUUCUUUUGAGCUAUUGACAGAAACUAGGUAUACUCCUAUGAACAAAAUUUGGAGGAUAUUUGUUUCUCUCUACUUGAUUCCUCCAGAAUUUGGAAACUAUCUGUGAGUAUUCUUAAUGUAUGGC